AGAAAUGAAUUAGACAGGCAUCGCCGGUUAACCCAAAGAUAUAUAGUUUUUGGACACAGGGGUCUGACCGUGCAAAGGUAGCGUAAUCACUCGUCCUUUAAAUGGGGUCAAGUAUGAAAGGCUAAACGAGGGCUUAACUGUCUCCCCCCCCAGGUCAGUGAAAUUGAUCUAUCCGUGCAGAAGCGGGUAUAAACAUUCAAGACGAGAAGACCCUUUGGAGCUUUAGGUACAAGACUAAACCACGUUUAACAAGUCAAUGAAAACACAAACCCCGUGGAAACUUAAGACUUUACCUUCGGUUGGGGCGACCACGGAGUAAAAUAAAACCUCCAAGUGGACUGGGGAAACCCCUAAAACUAAGAGAACCACCUCUAAGUCACAGAAAUUCUGACCAAAAUGAUCCGGACACUUAACCGAUUAACGAACCAAGUUACCCUAGGGAUAACAGCGCAAUCCUCUCCCAGAGCCCAUAUCGACGAGGGGGUUUACGACCUCGAUGUUGGAUCAGGACAUCCUAAUGGUGCAGCCGCUAUUAAGGGUUCGUUUGUUCAACGAUAAAGUCCUACGUGAUCUGAGUUUCAAAACGGGACCUCGCCUGUUUAUAAAAAACCUUAGCGUGGUGUGUAUUUCACAACCAGGGUGCAAUUGUCAGCAAAAAGUAUAAA
rnacentral:rRNA from 1 species